CGAGCAUACAUCUUUGUUAUUGGACUUGCAGAUGAUUCCGGAAUGUUUUGCAGGAGAAUAUCUGGUGAAGUGAUAUGAAGCAGGUGAUGCAGAGGCCGAUGUAAGAGAUGAUCGGAGCUGAUGAGUGUGCAAAAAGUUAGGGUUCUGAAUAUGAACAGCCAUUAUAUUUUUCUUCUGAUAUGUGUGAGAGAGAGAGAGAGAGAGAGAGAGUGAAUGGUUGUUGGUUUAAACCGUUGCUUCGAGGGUGAGAUAAGCUUUAUGUGGUUGACUGGCUUUCCCCAGUUUCGCCGUGACGGAGACAUCAAUAUUAUUUUCCUUCCGUCUCUUACGAGUAUAACUUUUUUUUUGUGAAACAAGAAAAAAAGGAAUAUAAUUGUUUUAUAAAAAUUUAAAGUGAAAAUCUCGUUGAUUUAUAUUAUUUUAAAAAUUUUAGCUUCGUCAAUUUAAGAAUUCUCAAAUUAAUCAUUUGUAGCUAUUUAUUUUUUUCUGACUGAAUAUCAAACAAUUUAUUUGUUUGAUUUUAAUUUACUAGAAAUGUGCAUUUUAAACGCUUAACUUUUAGGGUUUAUUUGCCAAAUAUCCAAAACAAAAAUUGAAAUUAGAUUUGUAGAGAGAUAGUAGAAAGAGAUAGGAAGAGAAAGAAGGAGAGAGUGUAAGAUUUUAAUUAUUUAGUGAAUUAUAGUUUUUUUUAAGGUUAUAUGGCCUAAUUUCCCUAAUUUUUACUAUGUAAUACACCAAACUAUAAAAAGUUUUAUCAAACGGACAAUGUUGAGAUUUAUUAUUCUAAAUAGAUGUUUGUCUCCCUACAUUUUCAUAUUUUGUACCGAAACAUUUAUUUAAAAGAUAUGCAAAGUAGUGUGUAGCCAAAUGCUAUCAUGUUUAAAUUUGCCAAGAGCAUAUCCACCUAUACAGUGCAGAUAAUUGUUUACUUUUGUUAAGCUACAAAAAGAUGUUAAGCUGUAAGAGUGAUUCGCAUGAAAAAUCUAUUACAAUAAAAGAGAGUUACCUCUCUCUAUAUGCCACCACGUCAUCAGGAAAUAUAAGACGUUUUUGGACACUUGGCACUUCACCAAACCAGCCCGCGUCUGAUUUGAUUUUGUAUCAUCCGGUUUAUCUCAUGCCUCUAUCCUGGACUGGGCCAUUAUUACAACUUUUCCUUGGGCCUUUGAAAACACUAUGACAAGCUCACUAGAAUUUUAUGUUUCUUCUUCUUCUUUGCGGUUGCGACAGUGGACAAUUUUUUUUCAGAACUAAAGGGACGUUCCAAUCUCUCCCGUAACGUAUCAAUACUUCAUUAAUCUGUUCUUAACUCUGAGGUUUUGCGUGAUUAGCCCACUCCUCCCACUGGAAAGCAUUCAAUCGACAUCUUUAAUCUAACUUUAAGAUGAUAUUGUUUAUUUUUCUUCGUGACCUUUGUGAUUUCUCCAUCUUCUUCCACUCACUUCAUCUGUUAUUGACAUCAUAAUUCCUCUUCAACCCUCAUUCUCUCUAUAGAAAGCCAGAUGCAAGUGAAAGAAAACCUAACAAACUAGGGAAUUAAGAUUCACCGAAUGAGCACUACAAAAACUUGGCUUCAAGCGAUCUCAGGGAUCAAAACCGGAAAACAAAAUAGCAUAGCUAUUUCGAGAAAAGAUUGUGUCUCUCUCCCUUGUCCAUGGUCAAAUUGGUCCUCCAAAAGUCGAAUCGUUAGUUUGUCUUUGCUUCCUAUUUUCAACUCGAGUCCUCGAUUUUCAAAUAACUACCGUGUGACUGGUAGAUUUUAGAGUAACUAGGAGAAAUAAAAGUGGAGGAACUAAGAGGAAAAGUAGCAGAGCAAAACAUAAAGAAAAUAAAAUGAAAUCAGGUGUAACUUACUUUCCACUUCAUAAACAGUGAGGUAAUAAAGUGUACUAUAUACCACCAGUUAAACAGUGGGGAGCGUAAGGGAGAUGGAAAUUAAUUUUACCUGAUUGGCAAACAUAUAAGUUGAACAGAGAGUAAAAAUAUUAUCGCUAAACAAUUCUCGCAGGAAAAAAUUAUCGCUGGAAGUGCUUUCCAGUCAGACACUACAUAUAUUCUGCUCUGUUUUUUAUUUCUUGCAGGAAGGAUAUUCGUCUUACCCAUUAGGUAAAUAGAAAACCCAUAUUAGCUUUGUUUUAAUUAUGUAUUACCUUUCCUACCAAUGAAUUUAUGCUAAUUGAAUAUGUUAAUUAGCUUUUGAACUCCAUGUUUCAGCUUUUGAACUCCAUGUCACAGAUGUUUUCUUCUACUGAUAGAAAGUUGAUUUGGAGGCGUGUAACAUGUGAGUCAGUCUCCACGUCAAUCUAACCGUAGCAAUGAGCCGACAUGAGCCUCAAAUGCUCUUGCUCUUUUUAUAUAAUCUGUUUCUAUAUAUUCUGAAGAAAUAUUUUUAAAAAAUUAGUUACCUUUCUCCUGCCUAAAUUUAUAUUAAGCAUUGUAUUCUUAUGGGUUUGGAAGGCUGACAAUCACACACUUAAUGAAUUCUGCAGGUAUUCUUAUGGGUGUGCAGUACUUCCUUCGACGUGCAAAGAUUACGGGAAAGAAAAUCACGGCUUGUCUUAUCUUUGCAAGCCCUAUGGCCGCAACACUCCGGCAGCGGCGUUCAGACUGAGGUUAGCUCUUGAGCUUGGGAUUCAUUGCUUGAACGUAAUUUUUAUAGUCUUGAGUUGGGUGUUUUGCGUUUAUAACCAGCUCCAGUUAUGGUAAUUGUGAAAGUGCAUUGCUUUAGUGUUGUUUUCUGCCGUCUACAUGCCUUACUUACAUCUUACAUAAUCUUUUUUUCAAGGACAAUGAUGAACGUGGUGAAGAUCUUUUGUUGGCUGCAUUACUCUGCAAACUCAUACAUGGUUGGUUAGUAAUCGAGCCUGCAUAUUUGUCUUUUUUUUUUUUUGCUAUUAUUGUUCUCAAACAACUAAUAUUGUUUAGAUGUAACCAUGUUUUGGUUUGCACCAGAUAGCGAUAUGCUUUGUAGUUGAUGGUUGGAAUCAGAAUAAUACAGUUUCCUACCUGUUCUCAAGAAGCAAUUCUCUUGCAGCAUGUACUUCACUACUCUCUUUCUUUCUUAUGUUGAUAAUUUUGAAUUCUUUUACUAAUUUGUUUUAGUUGUAUUGCAGGUUAUUUCAGAGUUUUCAACCUUUCCAUGUUUGUACCAUCCAUGUAAAUAUACUUUCUUGGAUUGAAAAACCAACUUCUCUUUUACAAAAUUCCUACGUUAGGAGGUUCGGCUGAAAAUAAGGUUUGAUACUGCCUCUCUUGCCAAUCCUUUAGCCUAGCCUUUAUUAUUUUUAUUUGGAAAGUAACAAUAGUUACUGCAUAUAAGCAGAUAGAUUCGGAACAACUUGAUAAGACCAAGACUGAGGAUAGUUCAGACAAAUCGGUAUGCAAUUCAAUUCAUUUUCUUGUAAUUGCUCUCUCAGUUGGAUAUAGUCUAAUAGCUGUUGUCAUGCAGAAACCAUCAUCAACUUCUCAAAUUUCAUCUGCUAGAUCUGAGGUAAACUUGUAACCAGUCCGGUAUUUGAAAAUAUGAUAUCAGCAGUCUCUUCUUAAGGUUCAUAGACUGUUUUAUAUAGCUAAAAAAUCUCUCUUCACAAAAAUCGUUAUUACAUAGGUUCGGAAGCAGACUUACGCCGAACUGGAGACCUUUAAACACAGAUGGAGAAAUGCUGUCAAGAACGAUGAGUGCUGGAUAGACCGUUUCCAACCAUAGAGGAUUUCUUGUUUUGGACCAAAUUAUACAAUUCAUAGAAAAGCAAAAGACACGGAGAGAUGACAGCUUAAGAUCUUUCGAUGCUGUUAACCAAUUAAUGGAGGUAUACAUAGAAUUUUCCAAUACUGGAGAUUCUACUUUGAUGAUUCUUCUAUCUCUCGAUUUAUAGAGCCUCAAAGUUUAGCACAAAAAUCUUACUAAUGACUUAUAUAUGUACCACUGGAAAUACACAAGGUUGUGAAAUAAAACUUGAGUUUUUUCUUUUAACAAAUGGGGUUGUCCAUGACAUCUUUGUGUUUUCUCUAUCUUCUUGCGGAGUCGCCCUAGUUAGAUAAGAGCAGAUUUGCUUAUGAUUCUUGAGAUUAGUCCCCCAAUCUCUUCUCCGCAAUCCUCUUGGACAUGAUGACCAGCCUAAUAAUAAGAUCAAAACCGGUUAAUGUUAGCUUUGCUGUUUAUUGAGGUCUCAUGGGUGCAAAAGGAAAUAGUCUGUACCAUUGGAAGUUCAACGAGAUCAUGUCCUGAACUCUUGCAGAACUCUUCAACUCCUUGAUAGCUCAGCCACUUGUCUCGCUGUCCCCAGCACACGGUGGUCGGGAUUUUCCAGUCUUUAUCCAUCAGUGAGGUCCUCAUUUCUUCUGUAUAGCCCUGUCAGGGAAAAUCCAUAUGAAUAUUCCAAUCUUACUCUAGAUAUUCAUCAAACCUUGGUUUUGGUAAGGAACCUUAAGCUCCUUCUUCAUGGCCCUGCUGAUGGCGUUAAGUGCAAAACCAGAAGAACCUGAGGUCAGAUAAGGUCUUCGGUAAACCAUCGCAUCAUCUUCUUUCAUUUUGUAAGGACCACAGCUCGUCAAAGGCUUGUCACUUGCUCUCAGAGGAUCCUAUUGGUUUUAGAUAAGCCUUCAUAUGAGCAAACAGUUAAGAAGCAACUUUGAUGGAAACAAACCUGAGAGAAAAUCUCCCCGAGCAAAAAGUUGCUGAAUACAGACAAGGUUGAUGGAAGUUUAGCAUGUUCGGGAGUGAGCUGCAACCGCAACAAACACAGUCUCUAAGUAAAGUCAGUUUGAAAGAAGAGAAGAAAAUGGUACGUUUCAAUUUUUUGUUUAAAAUCCCUUCCUUACAGGAGGAUUCAAGAGUAUGAGAUUCUUGAUCUUCUCUGGUCGGUUUCUUGCGCAUUUAACCGCAGCAGUUGAGAAGUAUCCCUGAUUAAAAAAGAGAAGUUAACACUGAACAUACCUGUAAUAUUGCUCCGUUAGUUAAGUGAGGAUACUUACCUGCACAACCAGUGAGACCUGAGUAGUAGUAACUUCAUCAAUGAAUGAUUCAAGCGACGAAACAUACUCUGCAAAGCCGCAGAUCAUUGUGAUAAAAUCUUGUAAAUUUAUCAAGAAAAAGUCUGUUCACAACAACUGGGGACAAGAUGUUACCGUCUAAUGUAUAGUUGAAUCCAUAUCCAGCCUGAGGCUUGUCAGAAAAUCCAAAUCCUAGCCAAUCGAAGGCAAUGGCGCGGUAGUUCUUUGACAGGGCGGGAAGAGCUUUCCGGUAAGAGUAAGACUAGUCACAAUAAAAAAAAAUGCUCAAAAUCUGAAACUUAUUCAAGAUAACAAGAUGGGAUGUGUUUCAAGUCAAGUGAUAUUAAUUUACUUACCUGGGAUGGGAAUCCAUGGAUGAGUAUAACAGGAGGACUGUCUACCUUCCCAGAUUCCACACAAAACCACCUAUGGAUACCAAAAAUCAUAAGUCCUAAUGUAAGAUAAGAGAUGAGAAGUUUGUAAUCCUACCUGAAAACAUCUUUUGAAGCUUGAGAGCUAGAUCCCAUUGUUAGUCCGAAAAUGGGAUCUUUGGCUUCUUCACCAGAUCCCCCAACUCUGUGAGCUUUAACCCAUUUGCCUUGCUUUAACCAUUCAUCUGAUGGACUCGGUUGAUCCGAAUACUUCCCUGCCAUGAAGAAACCACAAUUAUUUCUUCUUUUCCUACUAAACCAAGAAGAAGAAGAUGAUGAUUAAAAGAAUGGUAAAAACCUCCACUGAAUGAGAAUCCAUCUCCAGCAGACACAGGAGCAUCAAUAAGAUAGUCCUGUUAAGAAACGAGUUAAUUAUUGCUCAAUGUUUUAUCUUUCAGUAAACUGACUUCGAGCAUACAUCUUUGUUAUUGGACUUGCAGAUGAUUCCGGAAUGUUUUGCAGGAGAAUAUCUGGUGAAGUGAUAUGAAGCAGGUGAUGCAGAGGCCGAUGUAAGAGAUGAUCGGAGCUGAUGAGUGUGCAAAAAGUUAGGGUUCUGAAUAUGAACAGCCAUUAUAUUUUUCUUCUGAUAUGUGAGAGAGAGAGAGAGAGAGAGAGAGAG
rnacentral:lncRNA from 1 species